rnacentral:rRNA from 1 species
UACGUAGGGGGCGAGCGUUGUCCGGAAUCAUUGGGCGUAAAGAGCGUGUAGGCGGCUUGGCAAGUCUGACGUGAAAGCCCGCGGCUCAACCGCGGAUUGUCGUUGGAAACUGCCUCGCUAGAGUCCGGAAGAGGAGAGCGGAAUUCCUGGUGUAGCGGUGGAAUGCGCAGAUAUCAGGAAGAACACCCGUGGCGAAGGCGGCUCUCUGGGACGGUACUGACGCUGAGCACGCGAAAGCUAGGGUAGCGAACGGG